rnacentral:tRNA from 1 species
GCCGAGAUAGCUCAGUCGGUAGAGCAGCUCACUUGUAAUGAGCAGGUCGUCGGUUCGAUCCCGACUCUCGGCU